rnacentral:rRNA from 1 species
GAUGAACGCUGGCGGCGUGCCUAAUACAUGCAAGUCGAGCGAACGGACGCGAAGCUUGCUUCUCUGAUGUUAGCGGCGGACGGGUGAGUAAAAUGUGGAUAACCUACCUAUAAGACUGGGAUAACUUCGGGAAACCGGAGCUAAUACCGGAUAAUAUUUUGAACCGCAUGGUUCAAAAGUGAAAGACGGUCUUGCUGUCACUUAUAGAUGGAUCCGCGCUGCAUUAGCUAGUUGGUAAGGUAACGGCUUACCAAGGCAACGAUGCAUAGCCGACCUGAGAGGGUGAGCGGCCACGCUGGAACUGAGACACGGUCCAGACUCCUACGGGAGGCAGCAGUAGGGAAUCUUCCGCAAUGGGCGAAUGCCUGACGGAGCAACGCCGCGUGAGUGAUGAAGGUCUUCGGAGCGUAAAACUCUGUUAUUAGGGAAGAACAUAUGUGUAAGUAACUGUGCACAUCUUGACGGUACCUAAUCAGAAAGCCACGGCUAACUACGUG